rnacentral:rRNA from 1 species
CCUACGGGUGGCAGCAGUGAGGAAUAUUGGUCAAUGGGCGCGAGCCUGAACCAGCCAAGUAGCGUGAAGGAUGACUGCCCUACGGGUUGUAAACUUCUUUUAUAAAGGAAUAAAGUGAGGCACGUGAGCCUUUUUGUAUGUAUUUUAUGAAUAAGGAUCGGCUAACUCCGUGCCAGCAGCCGCGGUAAUACGGAGGAUCCGAGCGUUAUCCGGAUUUAUUGGGGUUAAAGGGAGCGUAGAUGGGUUGUUAAGUCAGUUGUGAAAGUUUGCGGCUCAACCGUAAAAUUGCAAUUGAUACUGGCAGUCUUGAGUACAGUUGAGGUAGGCGGAAUUCGUGGUGUAGCGGUGAAAUGCUUAGAGAUCACGAAGAACACCGAUUGCGAAGGCAGCCUACUAAACUGCCACUGACAUUGAUGCUCGAAAGUGUGGGUAUCAAACAGGAUUAGAUACCCUUGUAGUC